UUUGGGAUACCUUUGGGACCCGUCUUGAAACACGGACCAAGGAGUCUAUCUAGUAUGCGAGUAAAUGGGCACUAGAAAACCUAUUUGCGUAAAUAACUUGACUGUUAUGGGAUUACGAGCUGCACCCUGCCAUAUGGUGUGGUGCGUUCCUCCAUCCCGGGGUAUUUUUAUAUAAUGUCUUGCUAGCUCUUUGGGGCUGGKAGGUACAUASAAAAUAUACCAUGAGCACACUGGAUAUGACCCGAAAGAUGGUGAACUAUGCCUGAUCAGGUUGAAGUCAGGGGAAACCCUGAUGGAGGACCGAAGCAAUUCUGACGUGCWMAUCG
rnacentral:rRNA from 1 species